UACGGAGGGGGCGAGCGUUAUUCGGAAUUAUUGGGCGUAAAGGGCGCGUAGGCGGUCUGUUACGUCUGCUGUGAAAACCCAGGGCUUAACCCUGGGCUUGCAGUGGAUACGGGCAGACUAGAGGCAGGUAGGGGAGAAUGGAAUUCCCGGUGUAGCGGUGAAAUGCGCAGAUAUCGGGAGGAACACCGGUGGCGAAGGCGGUUCUCUGGGCCUGACCUGACGCUGGAGGAGCGAAAGCGUGGGGAGCAACAGGG
rnacentral:rRNA from 1 species